GUGUGCCGCGGCCGCGCGAGUCCUGGAAAGCGUUGUUGGCCCGGUUGCUCUGGAGCCGGGUCUCGGGUCUGGUGGCUGCCGGCCCUCCAGCAUCUCGCCAUGGGGAGCACGGAGAGCAGCGAGGGCCGCAGGGUGUCCUUCGGAGUGGACGAGGAGGAGCGGGUCCGGGUGCUGCAGGGUGUCCGGCUGUCUGAAAACGUGGUGAAUCGCAUGAAGGAGCCCAGCUCUCCACCCCCUGCUCCCACAUCUUCUACCUUUGGCCUUCAAGAUGGCAACUUGAGAGCCCCUCACAAAGAAUCCACACUGCCCAGGUCGGGGAGCAGUGGUGGCCAGCAGCCCUCAGGGAUGAAGGAGGGUGUCAAGAGGUAUGAACAGGAGCAUGCUGCUGUCCAGGAUAAGCUCUUCCAGGUGGCAAAGAGGGAAAGAGAGGCUGCCACCAAGCACUCCAAGGCUUCCCUGCCCAUGGGCGAAGGCAGCAUCAGCCAUGAGGAGCAGAAGUCACUCCGGCUGGCCAGGGAGCUGGAGAGCAGAGAGGCAGAGCUAAGACGCCGUGACACCUUCUACAAGGAGCAGCUGGAGCGUAUUGAGAGGAAGAAUGCUGAGAUGUAUAAACUGUCUUCAGAGCAAUUCCAUGAGGCAGCCUCAAAGAUGGAGGGCACAAUAAAGUAAGAAUUUGUUUAUUAUUCUUUGUAAACUUGGCCCACAUUUGUAAAAAUUCCCACAUGUGGCUUGAAACCUGCCACCACCUGCCUAAUUUCAAGUUUCCCUAAUAAUACACACAACCAUCUGUUCCUCAGCUCUCUCACCUGGAUCUGAGGUAGCCAUUGGUCAUCUGUAAUUGGCCAAAUUAGCACUCAGUUCUUAUCUAGCUCCUUGGCAAAUUGGAGUGGUGCUAGGGUAGACUUGCAGAGUUAUUUUCGGGGCCCAGUGUCUGCUGAGCAGGGGCUCCUUUCCUUGUGUGGCUAGCUGAGGAGCUGGCCGUCAGGCCCCAGAAGGAGUUGAGGCAGGGGUUCUGCUGGCUUCUCUCCCCUCUGACUGUGGAGGGGUUUUUAGGGGAAGGUGUCCCCUCUCAGUGCUUCCUGUGCCUGGUACGUGCAGUGCACCCUGUGCGCAGUCAUGCUCGGGGUGGCCUACACUUCAUGCCCAGAGGAACUGAGGCUCAGAGAGCUGCUGGCUUGCUCAGAUCAUACAGUCCUAAGUGCCAGCAUUCUGUCCCCUGUCUGUGGUGCUCCUGUGCUGUCCAUUGAGGACUCAGCUGGAACAUCACAGGAGCAGGGAGGUGCUCACAGUGUGCCCAGUACCAGUGUGGCUCUGCUCAGUCAAUAGUACAGUUCCCUGGAAGGUCAGAAAGUGAUUCCUGCGGGAAGGAAUUGGGUCUUAUGGGUUCUCUGUGUGAAGUUGGUCUCUAUGGACCUGAGAGACCUUCAUAAAUUAGCCAAGGGGCUACCACCAACGCCAUCCACUUCCUGGGAAAGCUGCUCCCUCCCAAGAGUGAAUUGGGACAAUUCACCUGGCAGCCCUCAGGGCACAGAAUUGUGAGCAGUGGGUCUGGCCUCAUGAGAAAGAAGUGUCAGAGACAGGUUUGCAUGAUAGUUGUAAAAACAGCUGUGCAGAGAACUGUGAGGAGCUGGAAGGACAGUAGGGACAGACGAACAGUCAGCAUAGACCCAAAGGCACAGAAUAGGACAGGGAACAAUGUAGGCUGGUUUUGGGGUCUCUUUUUGAGGCAGGGUCUCACUGUGUGGGCCCGGCUGGAGUGUAGUGGCAGAAUCAUGGCUCAAUGCAGCCUUGACCUCCCGGGCUUAGGUGGAAGAAUCACUUGAACCUGGGAGGCGGAGGUUGCAGUGAGCUGAGAUCGUGCCACUGCACUCCAGCCUGGGCAACAGAGUGAGAAUCCAUCUU